rfam:Picea glauca, whole genome shotgun sequence.
AGAAGUCGUAUGAGGUGAAAAUCUCAUGUACGGUUUUGUAGAGUGACAAUGAAGACAACUUAUCAGUCAACUUUUAC